rnacentral:lncRNA from 1 species
UAUAGAUCGUAUAGAUCCCAUAUUUUUUUUAAUGUAGAACAUAAUAAACUUUUUAAUCAUACCUGGAGAUGUUUAAUACAUUUAUUUUAACCUUAUGAAUUUUUUUUUUAAACUUAGUUAUUUUAUUUAGUAUUUAAAGAAGAAUUUGGGGUGAGCCUUAAACUUUCAGUUACAUUUAUCUACUGUGGGGACGCUCACAUGCUGUGGUACGUGAUGGACAGGCUGGGAGAGCAGGCUCCCUCCUCGCAGUUUGUGGGUCCCAGGUGGAAUUUAGAUAGUCACAUUUCCUGGUACGCUCCUUUAUACACCGAGCCACCUCCCUAGUCCCUGGUAAUUGUUUAUAGUCUAAUUUAUUAUCUGUUAUAAUGGAUUACCUUUUAUUUUAUAAUUGACCAUAGCAACUACAAAUAAUGAAUUCACAUUUUUCCUUUUCAACAAAUUUUUGUAUUAUUCCAAUGACGAAGACUCUCAUAGCAAUGUUUAAAUGUUGCCAACAGAUCUGAUUCUUGUCUUUUUUUAAAAUUUGUGACUGGGAGGUCUAAAUAAAGAUAAUAAUGAUUAGAAGAACUCUUUCUCCACGAUUUUGUACUACUGCUUAGCUAAUUGGGUCUUGAGAGUUUAUGAGUAUUUAAGGUACACUUUGGUUACUUGGCAAUUUGAAAGGGAAGUGGGUCAGUCGCAUUGUGCAGAUCUCCUUCUGUGUUAGAGAAGGUUUUAUGUCUGGAUAGAUAGGCCCCAAAAUAUACAUGGUUUGUGCUAAAUUCUACCUCAUGAGGGUUGUGCUAAUGCACAUUCUCUUAGAUGGUUAUUUUUUCCAUGGCUUUACUAGCAAACUUGCUUUACUUUUGAAUUUUGCUAAUCUGAUAGGUGACAAAUGAUACCUCACUCUACACAUUAGUGAGCGUUCUAAAUAGACCAUAAUUUAGAAAGCUGAUACUAUUGUACCACACUGCCAUGCUGCUACUACAUGCUAGGAAUUUAGCAGCUUAAGGAAGGUCCUAGAUAUUUCAUAAAGCCUGGCUGACCCCUGUAUAGUCUAACAUUCUAGCCUUUUUGCUUAUUUAUAUAUAUAUAUGACUUACUAGAGCCAGGUUGGUUGGAGGAUAAUGAUACCCAGGGGAUUUAGGGGUGCCUACUGAGUUCUUGGAACUUCUUGAUGAACUCGGCACAUUGUAUGGACUCUGGCUAAGCUCUUUCCUCUUUUGGAAUUUUUAAUUAGGGUUAAAUUGGGAAGAAUAAGUUUAUGACGGCAUAUUUUAUUGGUUUUAUUACAUACUUUAUCACCUACAUUCAAAAAAGUGGUAGGCUGCAUUGUUCAGCUCAGGGUCUUUCCACUAACUCACCCUUUCCUUAUGGAAUUUACUCUGUUCUUCUCCUUAACUAUACAGAUAGUUGAGGCCCUAAUAACAUUUGUUCUGUUGACCACUUUAUUUUUAUAUAUCAUACAAAUAAUAAUUUUGUUUACAAUUUAAGUCAUUUAAUAUGAGGGAUUUACAUAACUGCAGCUUCAGACUAUUAGGUUUGACUAGAUAGAUAGAAGGAUGGACAGACGGACGGGCAGACAGACAGACAGACAAAGAAACCAACUGGCUUAUGCUAUUAGUGGUAUUGAGAAGCAGUUUGUUUUAUUGUAAAAAUAAGAUGAGAGGUAAUAAGACUGAGAAAAAGAAAAGCAAGAAUAAUUAUCCCCAUUGUAGUCAUCAGCAGAGCUUUUCAAGUAAUUUCUGGUAUAAAAAGCUCUAUUUUAAUAAUAAUUAACCUGAAAUCUGAAUAUUCCUCUUUCCCCAUCUCUCCCAUUUUACCAUGACAUAUUACUUAAUUAAAAUUGGUGUUUGUUUGAUAGGGAAUGCUUGUGGUGUGGAGGUAACUUGAGCUAGCUAUCUGAUUGAUGUAGGAGUUCUUUAAUUUUAAGAAAGUCCUGAAAAAUAAAAGUCCCAAAAAAUUGAGUAUCAGUAAACUGCAUUUUAAAUUAGUGACCUUAGUUUCAUUAACUAUUAAUUUUAGUUCUCCUUUGCACUAAGUCAUAGGUUUCUAGUCUUCUGUUUGGUUUCUCUUGUGGUUGGGAUAAAGAGAAUAUAGUGAAUGUGAACUCAGUACUGUUUUAUUGUGAGUAUGUAUGCUAUAUAUAGCAUAUUAGAAGGAUGAGGAGAGAUAAUAUCUGGUAUGCUAAGGGAUUUGAAUUACUACAAGCUGCUGUUCACAUUUUUGGUUUCUUUUCUCCUCUUUAAAAAUGUCUUUGUACUUAUUAAAUAUGGUGAUCUUAUUUUCAGGCAGUUUCAGUCACACACAAAAAAUUUAUUUGCUGUUCAAAUUGAUAAACAAAUAGUCUUCAUGUCCUAUAUAGACCAUAGAAACUUAUGUUUAUUAACUGGAAGCUAAAACUGUAAGAAAACUGAAGAGCUGAAGGAUGGACCUUGUAGAGCCAUACACCUCAUGCAAGUAGCACAGUCCAGUGGUCCUGAAAGAUCCCAGCCUAGGCACCUGACACCCCUGCCCAAAGAGCCAUAUUUAAAACAAACAAACAACCCCCACCCCCCAACCAAAAAACAAUGUGCAUCUUAACUAACUACACAUCCAGUUUCUCAAGAUCUGCAAUCCCGAAACUUAGGUUGAGCAGAGCUUCCUUAAGAUAAAGCAACUUGAUUUGGAUAGAUAAACCGAAAGGCAGCAGAGGAGAUAGGGCUAGCAAAGGGUCAAGCAGAAAGUAGCCGAACUUAAAAAGACUAGGGAGAGAACCUGGAGCUUUCAAUAAAGGUCCUAUCUCACCAACACAUUGUAUAUGGCUAUACUGAUAGAAGAAAGGUGAUUUGAAGAAAAAGAAAACAAAUGUAACUAACAACGUACUUUAGAUUUAGGAAAAUAUCAUAGUGAAGACAUAGUGAAUAUUUUUAAUAAAAUCAAAAGUAAAGUCUUAAGCCUAGAGAAAAAGAUAUAUAUCCAAGGUAAAAGAGACCUACAGAAUACUAAAUAGAUAGGAUUAGAGAAGAAACUCAUCAAAUCAUAGGUGAAGCAUUAAAAACACAGAAUAAAGGAUGUUGAAAGCUUAAGACAAGAUCAAGUAACAAAAAGCAUGACCAUCAGAAUAACACCUUACUUUGGACAGAAUCAUUUAAAGCCAGGUCUGGGAGAGAUGUAUGCCAGACUCCAAAGAACACAAUCAUCAACACAAACAUUAUAUUAUACCCAACAAAACUAUCACUAAAUUUGAAAGAGAAAUAAAAGUUUUUUCAUGAUUAAAGGAAUUUAUGAUCACCAAGCCAGCUCUACAGAGGAUGCUGGAGGAAAUAGGAAUACUUCAAUUUGAAGAGAAGAGUAAACACACUUGAGG